AGAGUUUGAUCAUGGCUCAGGACGAACGCUGGCGGCGCGCCUAACACAUGCAAGUCGAACGAGCGAGAGAGAGCUUGCUUUCUCGAGCGAGUGGCGAACGGGUGAGUAACGCGUGAGGAACCUGCCUCAGAGAGGGGGACAACAGUUGGAAACGACUGCUAAUACCGCAUAAGCCCACGGGUCGGCAUCGACCAGAGGGAAAAGGAGCAAUCCGCUUUGAGAUGGCCUCGCGUCCGAUUAGCUAGUUGGUGAGGUAACGGCCCACCAAGGCGACGAUCGGUAGCCGGACUGAGAGGUUGAACGGCCACAUUGGGACUGAGACACGGCCCAGACUCCUACGGGAGGCAGCAGUGGGGAAUAUUGCACAAUGGGGGAAACCCUGAUGCAGCGACGCCGCGUGGAGGAAGAAGGUCUUCGGAUUGUAAACUCCUGUUGUUGAGGAAAAUAAUGACGGUACUCAACAAGGAAGUGACGGCUAACUACGUGCCAGCAGCCGCGGUAAAACGUAGGUCACAAGCGUUGUCCGGAAUUACUGGGUGUAAAGGGAGCGCAGGCGGGAAGACAAGUUGGAAGUGAAAUCCAUGGGCUUAACCCAUGAACUGCUUUCAAAACUGUUUUUCUUGAGUAGUGCAGAGGUAGGCGGAAUUCCCGGUGUAGCGGUGGAAUGCGUAGAUAUCGGGAGGAACACCAGUGGCGAAGGCGGCCUACUGGGCACCAACUGACGCUGAGGCUCGAAAGUGUGGGUAGCAAACAGGAUUAGAUACCCUGGUAGUCCACACCGUAAACGAUGAUUACUAGGUGCUGGAGGAUUGACCCCUUCAGUGCCGCAGUUAACACAAUAAGUAAUCCACCUGGGGAGUACGACCGCAAGGUUGAAACUCAAAGGAAUUGACGGGGGCCCGCACAAGCAGUGGAGUAUGUGGUUUAAUUCGACGCAACGCGAAGAACCUUACCAAGUCUUGACAUCCUGUGACAGACGUAGAAAUACGUUCUUCCUUCGGGACACAGAGACAGGUGGUGCAUGGUUGUCGUCAGCUCGUGUCGUGAGAUGUUGGGUUAAGUCCCGCAACGAGCGCAACCCUUAUGGUCAGUUACUGCGCAAGAGGACUCUGGCCAGACUGCCGUUGACAAAACGGAGGAAGGUGGGGAUGACGUCAAAUCAUCAUGCCCUUUAUGGCUUGGGCUACACACGUACUACAAUGGCGUUAAACAAAGAGAAGCAAGACCGCGAGGUGGAGCAAAACUCAGAAACAACGUCCCAGUUCGGACUGCAGGCUGCAACUCGCCUGCACGAAGUCGGAAUUGCUAGUAAUCGUGGAUCAGCAUGCCACGGUGAAUACGUUCCCGGGCCUUGUACACACCGCCCGUCACACCAUGAGAGCCGGGGGGACCCGAAGUCGGUAGUCUAA
rnacentral:rRNA from 1 species